GUUCUCUCCGUAAUCCUCAGACUGUAUCUUUCUUGAAAUUGCUAGAUCUUCCUUAUGUUCUUGAUAAUGCAUCGGACUCCAGGGAUACUCCUGCUUCAUUGCCUCAAAAGGGUCUUGAAGGAGGCCUCUAGGCUUUAUGCUGCAAGUUGUGUCAGGGAUAUUGGUCCUGAUCUUAGACCAAACGAUUAUCAGAAGGAUGAUGGGACUGAAGGUAAAUCCAAUGGAGAUAAGAGUAGGAGUACAGACACAGAACCUUCGACCUUGGAGGAUAUUGCAAUUGCUGCAAGAGGAGGGAUGGAGACUUUGGGGCCUGCUUUAGAGAGGUUAUACAUGACAAGGGAUUCUGCAUAUAGAGAUGCUCUUAAGAGUUUCAUAGAAGGAUAUGAAGAAGGUAUCCAGAAGGUCAUGGAGAAAAAGGAAGAUUCUUCUCUAGCACAGCAAGAAGGCAAUACUGAUAAAAAUUCAACUUGAUGGCUUAUAAGUGCAUACUCGGAGAUGCAUGUGAGUACUUCUCCGGGAUACCUAUUGUAGAUACAAGUUUAGAGAUUUGGUGGAGCUGGGUUGGCAUGAAAUCACAAGAAUGAUACAUGUCCUGAGAACUUUCUUUCCCUCCCCACUUCCAGGUUGCUAGAUUAUUCAAUGAAGCUGCUCAGAUGUCUCCUGAGGAUGCUGAUGUACACAUUGUCCUUGGUGUUCUGUAUAAUUUGUCGAGAGAAUAUAAUAAGGCCAUUGCAUCUUUCAAAACUGCUUUGAAACUUAAACCUAAUGAUUAUUCUUUUUGGAACAAGCUUGGUGCAACACAAGCCAACAGUGUGCAGAGUGCUGAUGCAAUAUUAGCUUAUCAACAGGCACUAGAUUUGAAGCCAAACUAUGUGCAUGCUUGGGCAAACAUGGGUAUCAGUUACGCUAACCAGCAACAGAGGUGGGUUCGUUUACCUAUUGGCUUCGACACCGGAGUUAUGGACUUUGGUUCUAAGUCAUAGGACUCAGAUUCUUUAUAUUGCGGAUAUUAGCUUUGUGAUUAUGUACUUGGAAGUAGUUCCGGGUUGUUUGGUUCUUGAAUCCGGGACCGGUAGUGGCUCAUUAACAACAUCGUUUGCAAGGGUUGUGGCACAUGUGUAUACCUUUGAUUUCCAUUAACAGAUGGCUGCCUCAGCUAGAGAGGACUUCGAGAGGACUGGAAUAAGCACUUUAGUUACCAUGGGAGUUCGAGAUAUUCAGGGUGAGGUAUUUCCCGAUCAGUUUUCUGGGUUGGCUGACUCCGUAUUUCUGGACCUACUGGAACCUUGGCUAGCCAUUCCUUCAGCUUGCACAUGUUGAAACAAGAUGGAACUCUGUGUUCCUUCUCAUCGUGCAUCGAACAAGUGCAGCGUUCAUGUAAAACUCUUAGAUCUGAGGUUACAAGUAACAUAUUAGAAUUAAGUUAUCCUAACUUUUUGAAGCAGUUUUUCUUUUAAAGCAGUUUCAAAACUGCUUUGAAACUUAAACCUAAUGAUUAUUCUAUUUGGAACAAGCUUGGUGCAACACAAGCCAACUGUGUGCAGAGUGCUGAUGCAAUAUUAGCUUAUCAACAGGCACUAGAUUUGAAGCCAAACUAUGUGCGUGCUUGGGCAAACAUGGGUAUUAGUUACGCCAACCAGGUUUGUUAUAUCUUGCACUGUUCUCUCAUUGUCUUGACAUUCAUGAAAAGGGAGCUCCAAUUACUCUAACCCUCUAACUAUUUUAUUUUACCGAUGAAAAUAAAAUAAAAAUAUUAUAAUAUUGUUAUGUUAUAAAAUAAAACCCAAAGUUUCUCUCCGUUAAAUCAAGAUCCAUUGUCAUUAGCUUAUUUCUCUCUCUCGAAAAAGGAAAAGAAAAGGUUUCUGAUCGAUGAAAAUUGAGGGAAAUUUGUAUCAAACUUGACAUUAGUCCCUUGUUCUUCUUAAAUAAUUCCUUAUUCACCUAUGAGUUGGCAAAUUCUGUUCAUCCUGCAUUUUCCCGGAAGCCAAAUAGGAGACUUAAAUGUUUUUAAUUUAGAAAAUUUUGUUCUCUUACGGAAAUAUUGAAAAAAUACAUGUUUUCAGUUGAUCCCUUUAUUCUCUCCAAUUUCCCUUUAAUUUUUUCUAACGUCUUUUUUCCUUUACUGGCUGUUAAUUUUCUUUCUUAUUCUGUUCGGGCUUUAUCUUUGUCAUAUUCUGACUCGGAAUAAGCUAUUCUCCGGAUAUCUUGCCUUUUCUUAUUCCGAUUCUGAAUCUUUGGCUUCCGGUUUAUGGGUUUUAGUGCCCGGUUCAGCUAUUUUUUAUUGUCUGGACCGGUCAACUUGUCAAACUUAUUCCGGCCAGGGAUAUCCCUAGAAUGGGAUAUCCUGGUUCGUUGUUAUCCCAUGGUGGUAUAUCCCGGCCUUGGUUUAUCCCAUUUUAGGAAUAUCCCGAUUCCCCGCUUUUCUUUCCCAAGUAAUUUAAAAAGGGUAUUAAUUACCAUAAAUGUUACCGUUGUCACGUGGGGAUUUAGAAAAUUAAGUUCUCUCUCUUCCAUUCAUAGCUUCCUCGUUUCUUCACCUAUUCGAAAUUUGAAUCCUCAAAUCUAUCUCUUCUAUCCAUAGCACCCUAUUUAUUCAUGACUCCUCUCUCCUUGUGUGUUUUUGAAUUUCUUCCUCUCAUUUUUUUCUAGUUUUGGGUCAUCGAAUGCCAAAAAAAAAAACACAGAAAGACGCUACUCUAGGUUUUCUCUGCCGUUUUUGGUUUUUGUGAUUUUUUGAAAUUCUCUGCUUCAUCGGUGGCUGAUUUCAGGUAUUGUUGGAAUUCCUUAAAUUAAGCAGAUUUUUUACCUUAGUUCUAGGAAUUUUCUUGUACUAUUAGCCAUAAUCAAAUUACUAAUUUUUAGGGAUAGGCUAAUUUUUAGAGAUUAUUUUCUUUUUAUUUUUCUUGCUAUUCUUUAAAAGGCUAUAGUCAGAUUAGAAAAAAUAAGAAUAAUUCUUCCUAAACUUGUUCAUGGUAUCAGAGCAUCAGGAAUUCAGUUGAUCAUACUAUUUCUUCUCUUUUCUUGUUCUGUUUUCUCUGUUAGAAACCCUACUCUCAUGGGUGACACCGAAAAUUCCUCUGAGACUCUUCAUAAACUUUGGCUAACCAAAACUCAACUCAAGGCUUUUCAUAAACUACUCAGGACUCCUACAGCCAGUGGGUCACUAGCUAUUCAAGGUACUGCUUUAAAUACUAUACACGAACCUAUCACAACUUCCUGGAUACUAGACUCGGGUGCAUCCGACCACAUGACAGGUAAUCUAAGUUUGUUUCACACCUAUUUACAUUGUCAUGAUUACUCUCGGAUUCAAUAAGCGAUGGAUCUUACUCAUUGGUGGUGGAAUUGGGACAGUUAGACUUCUUCAAAAUUUUUCCCUUGAUAAAGUUUUACAUGUUCCAAAUCUUUCCUAUAAUUUACUCUCAAUUAGCAAGCUUACCAAGGAUAAAAAUUACUUGUUGAAUUUUUUGCUUUAGGUUGUGUGGUUCAGAAUGAGAAUCGGGAAGAUGAUUGGCACUACUAAAGUUGAUGAUGGCUUAUAUGUUUGGAACAAAAGCAGUUCACAAGAAGGGAUGGCCUUAUCUACAUCAAAAGAAGAUUCUAUCAUGCUAUGGCACCGUAGACUAGGACACCCAAAUUUCAUGUACUUCAAGAAAUUGUUUCCUCUACUAUUUCUAAAUAAGAAAAUAAGUUCAUUGAACUGUGAAGUUUGCCAACUGUCUAAACACACUCUUGUCCCUUAUCCUUUGAAACCUUAUGUUCAAUCUCAACCUUUCUCUUUAAUCCACAGUGAUCUAUGGGGAGCCAGUCGAGUAAAAAACAUCACAGGGGCUAGGUGGUUCAUAACUUUCAUUGAUGACCACACUAGAGUUUGUUGGAUCUAUCUUCUUAAAGAAAAAUCUUAAGUCUCUAGAGUCUUCAAAAAUUUUCUUUCAAUGAUUCAAACCCAGUUCAAUUCAAAUACACACCCUUAGAACUGAUAAUGGGAGAGAGUACUUUAAUUCUAUCCUAAGUCCUUAUCUUUCUGAACAAGGAAUCAUACAUCAAAGUUCUUGUCCUGACACCCCUCAACAAAACGGGGUUUUCGAGAGGAAAAAUAGACACCUUGUAGCCGUGGCUUGUGCUCUUAUGUUUACUAUGGGUGUACCAAAGUUUUUAUGGGGAGAAGCUGUUCUCACUGCUUGUCAUCUUAUAAACCGACUCCCAUCUAAGGUAUUAAACUUUCAAACACCUUUACAUACUCUUCAAAAAAAUUUUCCCUUGUUUCGUGUUCCUAAUCUCCCAACCAAAACAUUUGGUUGCAAAGUAUUUGUCCACAACCAUCAACCUAACCGAUCUAAACUUGAUCCUAGAGCCCACACUUGUGUCUUUAUUGGUUACUCACCUACACAAAAAGGGUACAAGUGCUACUCUCCAACCUUACACCGGAUGUUUGUGUCCCUUGAUGUUACUUUCUUCGAAAACGAGCCAUAUUUUUCAGCCUCUCAUCUUCAGGGGGAGAUACUUAUUGAAGAUGAGACCUUGAGCAAUCUUCUCAUUAUACCUAAAGACUCUAUCAGCCCUACCACCAUUACAAAACCUGCUGAAAAUCCUACAGCCAUUGUUUUUCCUGUUUUGGAACCUGUUUUCCCUAUCUCAACUGUUCAAAGAACAAGAAACAAGGGUGAUUAACCAUACUAAUGAAGAAAACACCCCAUUCAUUUUGAAAACAACAAGAAAAAACUCGGAGGCUUCGUGUAUACUCUCGGAGACAUCACCGCUCAAAAGCAAAAAGCAGAAGUGCCAAUGCCAUCUUUACCCGAGGACUGUCUUGAGGAAGAAGUUUCACCUCAUUCAUCUUCCAUCUUCCUUCCAAUUACAGUAAGAAAGGGCACUAGGAGCUGCACUCAACAUCCCAUUUCUCGGUUUGUAUCCUAUGGAAACUUGUCUAAAUCCUACAAUGCCUUUGUUUCUAAUGUUGACUCUAUAGAAACUCCAAAAAACAAAGAAGAGGCUUUUAAGUCAACCAAAUGGAGGCAAGCUGUGUUGGAAGAAAUAAAGGCUUUUGAAGACAAUGGAACUUGGGAAAUAUCUAAACUACCUCUUGGGAAGAAGACCGUGGGUUGUAAGUGGAUUUUCACCACAAAAUUUAAACCAGAUGGGAGCAUUGAUCGAUACAAGGCUAGACUUGUGGCGGGGGUUUCACUCAAACAUAUGGGUUGGACUAUGAGGAAACAUUUGCACCGGUGGCCAAAUUGAAUACUAUUCGAGUGCUUCUCUCAAUUGUUUGUCAACUUAGAAUGGCCUUUGAUCCAAUUGGAUGUAAAGAAUGCUUUUCUCAAUGGAGAAUUAAACGAAGAAGUCUACAUGGAUUUUUCACCGGAUUCAAGGAAGCAAGGGCCAAGUAUGCAAGUUGAAGAAGUCCUUGUAUGGACUAAAGCAAUCCCCUAGGGCUUGGUUUAAUCGUUUUGCCAAAGCCAUGACUAGUAGACAUUAUACUCAAGGUCAAGUGAUCAUACCUUAUUCUACAAACACUCGGAUAAUGGGAAGUGUUGUAUUCUCAUUGUCUAUGUAGAUGACAUAAUAUUGACAGGGAUGAUUCUAUUGAAAUUGAAAGACUAAAAGAGUUCUUAAGUCUUGAGUUUCAACUUAAAGAUUUGGGGAAUCUUCGAUAUUUUCUAGGAAUGGAGAUAGUAAGGUCAAAGGCAGGUAUUUUAAUCUCUCAAAGAACGUAUGUUCUUGAUCUACUUUCUGAAGUCGGACUGUUGGGUUGCAAACCAGCCGAGACUCCUAUGGAACCCAACCUUAAAUUAGGAACUGAUAAGGAUGGAGAAGAGGUAGACAGGGGAGAUAUCAACGGUUAGUGGGAAAACUUAUCUAUCUUUCUCACACUCGUCCGGACAUAGCUUUUGGAGUAAGUGUUAUAAGUCAAUUUAUGCAUGCUCCUAGGGAGAAACAUUUGGAAGCUGCCUACAGGAUAUUGAGAUACUUAAAAGGGACUCCUGGUAAGGGUUGCAUUUCAAGAAAGAUGUAAAUCGAAGCAUAAAAGUCUACAAUGAUGCAGACUGGGCAGGGGCAGUUAAUGACAGGCGUUCCACAAGUGGUUACUGCAGCUAUGUUUGGGGUAAUCUCGUGACAUGGAGGAGUAAAAAGCAAUCUGUUAUGGCACGCAGCAGUGCUGAAUCUGAAUAUCGAGCUUUGUCCCACGGUAUAUGUGAAGGAAUGUGGUUACAACGGCUAAUGGGAGAACUAAAAUUAUCCUAUACAAAACCUAUAACAUUAUACUGUGACAACCAGGCAGCAGUUAGCAUAGCUCAUAACCCUGUACACCAUGACCGUACCAAGCAUGUGGAAAUUGAUUGCCACUUUAUUACGGAGAAAAUUAACAAAAGGGAAGUUUGUGUUUCAUAUUUACCUACAAGACAACAAGUAGCAGAUGUGUUAACCAAAAGCUUGAGCAGAAAAAUGUUCGAAGAAAUUAUGGGCAAGCUGGGUUUGAUUAACAUCUACACUCCAGCUUGAGGGGGAGUGUUGGAAUUCCUUAAAUUAAGCAGAUUUUCUACCUUAGUUACAGGAAUUUCCUUGUACUAUUAGCCAUAAUCAAAUUACUAAUUUUUAGGGAUAGGCUAAUUUCUAGAGAUUAUUUUCUUUUUAUUUUUCCUGCUAUUCUUUAAAAGGCUAUAGUCAGAUUAGAAAAAAUAAGAAUAAUUCUUCUUCCUAAACUUGUUCAGGUAUGAAUCAUGACUUCUACUUUGCCUUUGUCUUUGCCAUUUCAUUUUUGUUUUAGUUUCAGAUCUAUUGUUUAUUACUUGUAUUUCAUUUGAUUUUUUUUUAUGAUUUUUUUGUUUUCUUCUUUAUAAAAUCUUUGUCUUUGCUUGAUCAUCUCUUUUUUUUUUUUCAGAUAUAUUUAUUUAUCACUCGAAGCAAAGCAAAAGGGAAAGUAGGAGGGUUUUGAGGAUAGUGAAAAACGGUUGGUCCUGCUUCAUCGGAGAUUCAUUUCAGGUCUUAGCUUUUAGGGACAUAUCUCCCCAGGCUCCUACGCACAUUUUAAUUAUUCCAAAAUCAAAGGAUGGCCUAAUUGGUUUGUCUAAGGUACAAUUUUUUUGUCCUCAUGACUAACUGAGCAGUAAACAUUUAUGCCCUCUAUCAUAGAGGAAACUACAAUUAUGGCUGGGUAUUAAUUUGGAAAAAAAGUAUGGAGUAUUGUUAAAAGAAUGCUGCUCAAGUUUUGUCAAUUUGAUUUGCCUUUUGCGUUUUGCUCACUCUUGAUGCUGUAUGAGGAAAAGAAAGAGAAGGCAAAUAGGAGUGAAAUUAAAUGGAAAUUGUAUCGAAAAAUUCUGGUGGUAAAGACUAAGAGAGGUUAUUAGAAGGUGGGGAACUGAAAGAACAUCAAUGCUGAGGAAAACCUUAAAAUUUGAUAUGCAAGUAUUGAUAGGUAUUGGCCAUAAA